rnacentral:rRNA from 1 species
AGCAGCCGCGGUAAUUCCAGCUCCAAUAGCGUAUAUUAAAGUUGUUGCAGUUAAAAAGCUCGUAGUUGAAUUUCGGGAUCAGUACGCUGGUCGUGCCUUUGGUAUGUACUGGUGUCACUGAUUCCUCCCUUCUGAAGAACCGUUAUGCCAUUUAUUUGGUGUGGCGGGGAAUCAGGACUGUUACUUUGAAAAAUUAGAGUGUUUAAAGCAGGCUCGCGCUUGAAUACAUUAGCAUGGAAUAAUGAAAUAGGACGUUUGAUCUUAUUUUGUUGGUUUCUAGGAUCGACGUAAUGAUUAAUAGGGAUAGUUGGGGGCAUUAGUAUUCAAUUGUCAGAGGUGGAAUUCUUGGAUUUAUUGAAGACUAACUACUGCGAAAGCAUUUGCCAAGGAUGUUUUCAUUAAUCAAGAACGAAAGUUAGGGGAUCGAAGACGAUCAGAUACCGUCGUAGUCUUAACCAUAAACUAUGCCGACUAGGGAUCGGAUGAUGUUAAUUUUUAAUGACUCAUUCGGCGUCCG